rnacentral:rRNA from 1 species
UGCGAGUCAUAUGUUCUUCGUGAACAUGGCGUACUGCUCAGUAACACGUGGAUAACCUGCCCUUGGGUCUGGGAUAACCCCGGGAAACUGGGGAUAAUACCGGAUAACGCAUAUAUGCUGGAAUGCUUUAUGCGUAAAAUGGAUUCGUCUGCCCAAGGAUGGGUCUGCGGCCUAUCAGGUAGUAGUGGGUGUAAUGUACCUACUAGCCUACAACGGGUACGGGUUGUGAGAGCAAGAGCCCGGAGAUGGAUUCUGAGACAUGAAUCCAGGCCCUACGGGGCGCAGCAGGCGCGAAAACUUUACAAUGCGGGAAACCGUGAUAAGGGGACACCGAGUGCCAGCAUCAUAUGUUGGCUGUCCAGAUGUGUAAAAUACGUCUGUUAGCAAGGGCCGGGCAAGACCGGUGCCAGCCGCCGCGGUAACACCGGCGGCCCGAGUGGUGAUCGUGAUUAUUGGGUCUAAAGGGUCCGUAGCCGGUUUGGUCAGUCCUCCGGGAAAUCUGACGGCUCAACCGUUAGGCUUUCGGUGGAUACUGCCAGACUUGGAACCGGGAGAGGUAAGAGGUACUACAGGGGUAGGAGUGAAAUCUUGUAAUCCCUGUGAGACCACCUGUGGCGA